rnacentral:rRNA from 1 species
UGGGGCAUAUUGGACAAUGGGCGCAAGCCUGAUCCAGCCAUGCCGCGUGAGUGAUGAAGGCCUUAGGGUUGUAAAGCUCUUUUACCAGGGAUGAUAAUGACAGUACCUGGAGAAUAAGCUCCGGGUAACUCCGUGCCAGCAGCCGGGGUAAUACGGAGGGAGCUAGCCUUGUUCGGAAAUACUGGGCGUAAAGCGCGCGUAGGCGGCCAUUCAAGUCAGAGGUGAAAGCCCGGGGCUCAACUCCGGAACUGCCUUUGAAACUAGAUGGCUAGAAUCCAGGAGAGGUGAGGGGAAUUCCGAGUGUAGAGGUGAAAUUCGUAGAUAUUCGGAAGAACACCAGUGGCGAAGGCGACUCACUGGACUGGUAUUGACGCUGAGGUGCGAAAGCGUGGGGAGCAAACAGGAUUAGAUACCCGCGUAGUCC